GUACACGCUGUGACUAGCAUAUCAAUAAGCGGAGGAAAAGAAACUAACAAGGAUUCCCCUAGUAACGGCGAGUGAAGCGGGAAGAGCUCAAAUUUGAAAUCUUAAAGGGUUUCCCUUUACGAAUUGUAGUUUAAAGAAGUGUUUUCUGUUGAGGUUUUGGUAAAAGUUCUUUGGAAUAGGACAUCAUAGAGGGUGAGAAUCCCGUAUUUGACCUUUACUUUCAACUUUGUGAUACACUUUCAAAGAGUCGGAUUGUUUGGGAAUGCAGUCCAAAAUGGGUGGUAAAUUUCAUCUAAAGCUAAAUAUUGGCGAGAGACCGAUAGCGAACAAGUACCGUGAGGGAAAGAUGAAAAGAACUUUGAAAAGAGAGUUAAACAGUACGUGAAAUUGUCAAAAGGGAAGCGUUUGACACCAGUGUUGUUUUUCUGAAAAUCAAUUAAAGAACUGUUUAUGCUAAGCUGUUUAGACUUUAUCAGCUAAUCUGUUUAGUUUUGAGCUUUUCUUUAAUGCACUUUUCAGUUAACAAGUCAACAUCAAUUUCUUUUGCUGUAAAUAAGCUUGAGGAAGGUGGCUUGAGAUUCGUCUUAAGUGUUUAUAGCCUCUUGCCUAUGCAGUCGGAGAGAUUGAGGUCAGCAGCGUAGAUCCUUCGGGGCUAAAUGCAUUUGUGCUAAGUUAUAGCAUUUUAUAGACAACUUGUUGACUAUGAUUUGUCUUGUAGCUUACUCGCUUAUGUUAUUUUACCUACGCUUAGGAUGUUGAGUCGUAGAGCACGCAG
rnacentral:rRNA from 1 species